GUCACUCAAUCACCAGCCAUUUCUUCCCUAUCUUUCUUGUUCUUGACCUCUCUCAACGUCUCUCUAUAUCUUUCUCAAUUUCUCCUAUACACCUCUCUAGCUCAAUCUCUCUCUCGGUAUACACUCAACACCACCACCAUAAACCACCAUUCCACCACCCCUUGUUGCCGCUGCUUUGAAACUAAAUUAUCUCAGAGAUUCAUAUUCACGGCAUUACAACUCGGUUAUUCUCGCACCUCUUACUCACCAGUCAUGCUUUAAGGGGAUCCUUAGACAAGCUUUCAGAUUGAAGAUUUGUCGUGGAUUCUAGACGACUUAGCUAUCUAGUUUUUGGUUAUCUGCUUACUUUUUUAAGGAAACUACUAUCUAUUAUCACUUGUAAGAACCUUGUAUUCAAACCUUAAUGAUGGAAUAUAAAUGAUGUUUUGUUUAUCGGUGUACUUGUGCUAUAUAUUCAGUUUAUCUGUGAUCCUUGAACUUAGUCGCACUCCCGGCAUGUUUCGCCUUGGCCGAGGGUGUGACAGCAUAAGACAACUUUUGGGUUCUCAAGGACCGCUCACUAUGAAAAAUCCCGAAACUAACAAAGAGUUUAUAGAAGAGUUCGCAAUCGCACAAAUACCACAAUCCUAGAGAUGACGUCACACGAAAAAAAUCAACCGAUGAAGGAUCUUUGGAUAACCUAGCUGCAAUAAUCGCUAAACUUGACACCUUAGAUUGAAGAAUUAAGAAGAUUAAUAAAAACAUUCACACCAUACAAGUUGGCUGUGACAACAACAACGGACCCACCUAACAAGCGACUGUGAUUUAGACGAGAACGGGAACAAAACGCUCAACUAUGCUAUUCGAGUGACGACGAAUAUGAUGACAGUUGGAAGAAACCAAAGAUGAAAUGGAAGCCCUAUCAUGAAUACAAGAAAGAGAGGUCAAAGAAAUAUUGACAACAAGGUCAAGGUUUCAAUCAAAAAGAACAACCUACACAUGAAAAGAAGUUGGGUUUUGAAGCACUAUUAACUUGAUUUGCCAAAGCAACUGAAAAAACGACAUAACAAAACUGAUGUAGCACUAAGAGUCCAAAAAGCUACUCUAAGAAAUCAGUAGGCCUCAAUUUUGAACAUUGAGAAGCAAGUGGGCCAAUUAGCUGAACUCUUACUUGAGCGUUUACCAGGAACCAUUCCGAGCAACACCAAAGUUAACCCAAGAGAUCACGUAUUAGUCAAUACAACUCAAGUAGAUGAAAAGAUUGAACCUUUGGUGCUCAUACACACUACCCAUACAUCUCACAAUCAGCGGCCCGAAGAAGAAGUUGAAAAAGUUGAUGCUUCUGCCUCGAUACCAUGUCGUGGUAAUCACACAACAACGUCGCAACCAUUACAACAGAGCCCCAAACCUCAAGUUUUAAAGCCAUAUCAACCGCCACUAUUGUAACGCCCUGAUUCUCAAAGUAUUAAUUUAUGGUUUUAAAUUUCCAUGAUUUCAAGGUCUACUCGACGAGUUGGUUGCCCUAACUCGUCGAGUAGCAGCGGGUUGGUCCACAUGUUUAAGUGAUCUACUCGCCGAGUCCAAGAAGGGACUCGACGAGUAGGAGCUGGAGGAUGAAACCCUAAUUUUCGAGGUUUUGCACCCUAUUUAAGGGAUCAUAAGCCUCCUUCAUCCCCCUUAUAGCCUCUGGAGAGUUCAACAAACCCUAACCUGUGAGUGUGCUCCAUUAUUGUGUGUUUUAAAGCUUUGGAAGGUGGAUCUUUGUAAGAAGAACUUGGAGAGCUAGUGGCUGGGAGCAAAGAACGUGUGGGCAUCUGAUAUCUACCUCAAUUUGCAUCCCUUGGAAGGUAUCAAGUUGUUAACUUGACCUAGGGAUGAGAUUUAGAACCGGAAAACCGGACCGGAACCGGAACCGUUAGAACCGUAAUAUAUAGAACCGGGUCCGGUUCUGGGUUUAAAAAUUGGCUUUAUCCGGGUUCCGGGUAAUCCGGGUUUGGGUCCAUCGGGUCCGGGUAAACCGGGUCUAAAAACCGGAACCACUUUUAGGGCCGGAACCGGUUUUUGUGAAACGUUUACAAGAUGCAUAUCUUUUUCGUUUCAACUCCAAUUGACAUACGGUUUUUUCCAACAUGUAGUUUAGAGUUUUUACAUGAUUCUAGACUAUAAAUUUGUCAUUUUUAGUUUUAUAUUCAGUGACUUACAGUCCUCAAAAAUCAAGAUAUCAAACUGGAAGUUUUUUGUUUUUUAAUUUUUUUGUAUUCGGUGAAAGUUUUAAAACAUGCAUAUCUAAUUCGUUUGAAGUCGGAUUGACA